CACGUAGGGGACGAGCGUUGUCCGGAUUCAUUGGGCGUAAAGCGCGCGUAGGCGGCUCGGAAAGUCGGUCGUGAAAUGCCGGGGCUCAACCCCGGGACUGCGUCCGAUACUCCCGAGCUGGAGGCAGGUAGGGGAGAUCGGAAUUCCUGGUGUAGCGGUGAAAUGCGCAGAUAUCAGGAGGAACACCGGUGGCGAAGGCGGAUCUCUGGGCCUUGCCUGACGCUGAGGCGCGAAAGCUAGGGGAGCGAACAGGAUAGAUAC
rnacentral:rRNA from 1 species